GACGAACGCUGGCGGCGUGCUUAACACAUGCCAGUCGAACGGAAAGGCCCCUUUGGGGGUACUCGAGUGGCGAACGGGUGAGUAACACAUGAGUAACCUGCCCUUGACUUCGGGAUAACUUCAGGAAACUGGGGCUAAUACCGGAUAGGAAUCCUUGCUGCAUGGUGGGGGUUGGAAAGCUUCGGCGGUUUUGGAUGGACUCGCGGCUUAUCAGCUUGUUGGUGGGGUAGUGGCUUACCAAGGCUUUGACGGGUAGCCGGCCUGAGAGGGCGACCGGCCACAUUGGGACUGAGAUACGGCCCAGACUCCUACGGGAGGCAGCAGUGGGGAAUAUUGCACAAUGGGCGGAAGCCUGAUGCAGCAACGCCGCGUGCGGGAUGACGGCCUUCGGGUUGUAAACCGCUUUCAGCAGGGGCGAAGCUUGUGGUGACGGUACCUGCAGAAGAAGCACCGGCUAACUACGUG
rnacentral:rRNA from 1 species